rnacentral:misc_RNA from 1 species
AACGAGGCCGACCUGCGGCUGAGUUACCUGCGGAAGGAUCAUUAAUUAAAUUCAUUCUCUGGAAAAUUUUUCCAUUGAAUAAUUUUUACCUUUACUGUGAAUUGUAUUUUAUUAUAUGAGGGGAUGUCCGCUUUUGCUAUAAGGGUAGGCAAUUUUGGAAUGUUAACCUAAUCAUAGUCAAGCUUAGGCUUGGUACCCAAACAUUAUUAUUUACCAAAAGAAUUCAGAAUUUUAAAUUGU